UUUCCGUAGGUGAACCUGCGGAAGGAUCAUUCAUAAUAAAGUGUUUUAUGGCACUUUUUAAAAAUCCAUAUCCACCCUGUGUGCAAUGUUAGAUCUCGUCAAUCUUGGCGAGAUUUUUAUACAUCAACUCAUUCUUUAACUAAUUUGUCUGAAGAAUAUUAUGAAUACUUAAUUCAAAAUACAACUUUCAACAACGGAUCUCUUGGCUCUC
rnacentral:misc_RNA from 1 species